UGUACUUUUGCUAAUGGGUCAGCAAGUUAAUAUUAGAUGCGAGAAAAGCAUUUUUUCCUAAGUGUGAAAAAAGUAAGUCUUAUUCCUAGAUAAACCGAUUAUUAAAUAAUGAAUUAGUAUCUAAAAUUAGACCCGAAGCCUGGUGAUCUUACCAUGAUCAGGGUUAUAAAAGCCCGAACGGGUUAUCGUUGUAAAGAUAUCCGAAGAAUUGUGGUAAGUUAGUGAAAGACAAUACUGACCAGGAUAGCUGGUUUUCUACGAAACAUAA
rnacentral:rRNA from 1 species